AUUGAACGCUGGCGGCAGGCUUAACACAUGCAAGUCGAGCGGAGCGAGGGUGCUUGCACCUUAGCUUAGCGGCGGACGGGUGAGUAAUGCUUAGGAAUCUGCCUAUUAGUGGGGGACAACAUUCCGAAAGGAAUGCUAAUACCGCAUACGCCCUACGGGGGAAAGCAGGGGAUCUUCGGACCUUGCGCUAAUAGAUGAGCCUAAGUCGGAUUAGGUAGUUGGUGGGGUAAAGGCCUACCAAGGCGACGAUCUGUAGCGGGUCUGAGAGGAUGAUCCGCCACACUGGGACUGAGACACGGCCCAGAAUCCUACGGGAGGCAGCUGUGGGGAAUAUUGGACAAUGGGCGGAAGCCUGAUCCAGCAAUGCCGCGUGUGUGAAGAAGGCCUUUUGGUUGUAAAGCACUUUAAGCGAGGAGGAGGCUACUGGUACUAAUACUACUGGAUAGUGGACGUUACUCGCAGAAUAAGCACCGGCUAACACUGUGCCAGCCGCCGCCGUAACAC
rnacentral:rRNA from 1 species